UGCUUCCCCUACCAAGUAACUGUCACAUUGUCCUUUUCACAAAUAUGGGAAAUAAUAGUCAAAAAUAUCAUUAAAAUGCACAGUUUUAUGUAAACAGCACAAAAUAUUUUCGCCGGCCUUAUGUCCGGCGCUACAGGGGCCCAGUACAAUUUCUUUUCAUGGGGCCCAAACUCCCUGGUGGCUCCCCUGCACAUGUCAGACACAGUGCCAACCAAAGCAGUGAAAUAUGAACUAACAGCAGCUGGACUUGGGGAGAAACGGAUCUCAUUUCGAGCAAGGGAUGAUGAUCCACUUAUCUUCAAGGCGACCACUGAGGAUAACUAUCCUCAGCUAAAAGCUACGGGAGGGUUUGAGUUGCUGAGAAUCUCUGGUACAACGCGAAGCCGAAACCUGUGCACAAUCCCAUGCCCGGACACUGGAUAUAGUGUGCGCUACCCCUGCAGCCCUUUGACUGGAAUUGGACAGGCAACGAUCUUUAUAAGGCCACUGCAGAAAAGUAUUGAAUUAAACAAUAGUUCCUGUAACAUCCAGCAACAAGGGCCGCUUACAAAAUGUCUGAGUUGUGACACAGACAUUCCCUUAUAUAAAAUUAAAAACCACAUCAGCAAAUGCAUGAGGUAGGGU